GUCUAUAUACGUAUAGCAUAUCAAUAAGCGGAGGAAAAGAAACUAACUAGGAUUCCCUUAGUAACGGCGAGUGAAGCGGGAAGAGCUCAAAUUUGAAAUCUUCAAGGUUCUACCUUGACGAAUUGUAGUUUAAAGAAGUGUUUUCUGUUGGAAUUUUGGUAAAAGUUCUUUGGAAAUAGGACAUCAAUAGAGGGUGAGAAUCCCGUAUUUGACCAUUAUUUCCAACUUUGUGAUACACUUUCAAAGAGUCGGAUUGUUUGGGAAUGCAGUCCAAAAUGGGUGGUAAAUUUCAUCUAAAGCUAAAUACUGGCGAGAGACCGAUAGCGAACAAGUACCGUGAGGGAAAGAUGAAAAGAACUUUGAAAAGAGAGUUAAACAGUACGUGAAAUUGUCAAAAGGGAAGCGUUUGACACCAGUGUUGUUUUCUCGAAAAUCAAUUAAAAAUGGCGGGAUUUUGUGUUGUAUUGACUUUAUCAGCUUUCUGCACUUUUUUCUUGUCUUUUUUAAUGCACUUUUCGUUUAACAAGUCAACAUCAAUUUCUUUUGUUGUAAAAGGGUCAUUGGAAGGUGGCUUUCUUUUCGGAGAAAGUGUUUAUAGCCUUUGGCCUCUGCAAUCGGAGAGAUUGAGGUCUGCAGGCGUAGAUCCUUCGGGGUUAGAUAGCAUUUGUGCUAAGUUAUAGCCUUUUCAUAGACAACUUGUUGACUAUGAUCAGUCAUGUAGCUUACUCGCUUAUGCUAUUUUACCUACGCUUAGGAUGUUGACGAUCAGCUGAGCGCG
rnacentral:rRNA from 1 species